rnacentral:rRNA from 1 species
GUGGGGAAUAUUGGACAAUGGGCGCAAGCCUGAUCCAGCCAUUCCGCGUGCAGGAUGAAGGCCUUCGGGUUGUAAACUGCUUUUGUACGGAACGAAAAGCCUCUGGUUAAUACCCGGGGGUCAUGACGGUACCGUAAGAAUAAGCACCGGCUAACUACGUGCCAGCAGCCGCGGUAAUACGUAGGGUGCGAGCGUUAAUCGGAAUUACUGGGCGUAAAGCGUGCGCAGGCGGUGAUGUAAGACAGUUGUGAAAUCCCCGGGCUCAACCUGGGAACUGCAUCUGUGACUGCAUUGCUGGAGUGCGGCAGAGGGGGAUGGAAUUCCGCGUGUAGCAGUGAAAUGCGUAGAUAUGCGGAGGAACACCGAUGGCGAAGGCAAUCCCCUGGGCCUGCACUGACGCUCAUGCACGAAAGCGUGGGGAGCAAACAGGAUUAGAUACCCUUGUAGUCC